GAACGCACCUUGCGCCCUUUGGUAUUCCGAAGGGCAUGCCUGUUUGAGUGUCAUGAAACCUCACCCCCACUUGGGUUUUUGCCUGAGCGGUGGUGUAUUGGGUGUUGCCAUCAGUGGCUCGCCUGAAAAGUAUAAGCGCCUUGGAUGUAAUACGUUUCAUCCUUAUGGGUGGCUGAUAACCCCACAUAUCUCAUGAUCUGGCCUCAAAUCAGGUAGGGCUACCCGCUGAACUUAAGCAUAUCAAUAAGCGGAGGAAAAGAAACUAACUAGGAUUCCCUUAGUAACGGCGAGUGAACCGGGAUGAGCUCAAAUUUGAAAUCUGGCGUCUUUCAGGCGUCCGAGUUGUAAUCUAUAGAGGCGUUUUCCGCGCCGGACCGCGUCCAAGUCUGUUGGAAUACAGUAUCAAAGAGGGUGACAAUCCCGUACUUGACGCGACAACCGGUGCUCUGUGAUACGUUCUCAACGAGUCGAGUUGUUUGGGAAUGCAGCUCUAAAUGGGUGGUAAAUUCCAUCUAAGGCUAAAUAUUGGCGAGAGACCGAUAGCGAACAAGUACCGUGAGGGAAAGAUGAAAAGCACUUUGGAAAGAGAGUUAAACAGCACGUGAAAUUGUUAAAAGGGAAACGAUUGAAGUCAGUCGUGUGGGAGGUAUUCAGCCGUCUCUGGCGGUGUAUUUGCCUCUCACGGGUCAACAUCAGUUUGGUCCGGUAGAAAAAGGCGGGAGGAAGGUGGCACCCUCGGGUGUGUUAUAGCCUCCUGUCAUAUGUGCCGGGUCAGACUGAGGAACGCAGCUUGCAGCAAUGCCGGGGUUCGCCCACGUACAAGCUAG
rnacentral:rRNA from 1 species